rnacentral:rRNA from 1 species
UACGAAGGGGGCUAGCGUUGCUCGGAAUUACUGGGCGUAAAGGGCGCGUAGGCGGCUAUUUAAGUCGGGGGUGAAAUCCCGGGGCUCAACCUCGGAAUUGCCUUCGAUACUGGAUAUCUUGAGUUCGGGAGAGGUGAGUGGAAUGCCGAGUGUAGAGGUGAAAUUCGUAGAUAUUCGGCGGAACACCAGUGGCGAAGGCGACUCACUGGCCCGAUACUGACGCUGAGGCGCGAAAGCGUGGGGAGCAAACAGG